GCUGGCGGCACGCCUAACACAUGCAAGUCGAGCGCUCUAACCACUUCGGUGGGGACGGGAGCGGCGGACGGGUUAGUAACGCGUGGGAACAUACCCUUUUCUACGGAAUAGCCUCGGGAAACUGAGAGUAAUACCGUAUACGCCCUUCGGGGGAAAGAUUUAUCGGUUAAGGAUUGGCCCGCGUUAGAUUAGUUAGUUGGUGGGGUAACGGCCUACCAAGACGACGAUCUAUAGCUGGUUUGAGAGGAUGAUCAGCAACACUGGGACUGAGACACGGCCCAGACUCCUACGGGAGGCAGCAGUGGGGAAUCUUAGACAAUGGGCGCAAGCCUGAUCUAGCGAUGCCGCGUGAGUGAAGAAGGCCUUAGGGUCGUAAAGCUCUUUCGCCUGUGAUGAUAAUGACAGUAGCAGGUAAAGAAACCCCGGCUAACUCCGUGCCAGCAGCCGCGGUAAUACGGAGGGGGUUAGCGUUGUUCGGAAUUACUGGGCGUAAAGCGUACGUAGGCGGAUUAGUAAGUGAGGGGUGAAAUCCCAGGGCUCAACCCUGGAACUGCCUCUCAUACUGCUAGUCUUGAGAUCGAGAGAGGUGAGUGGAAUUCCGAGUGUAGAGGUGAAAUUCGUAGAUAUUCGGAGGAACAUCAGUGGCGAAGGCGGCUCACUGGCUCGAUACUGACGCUGAGGUACGAAAGUGUGGGGAGCAAACAGGAUUAGAUACCCUGGUAGUCCACACCGUAAACGAUGAAUGCCAGACGUCGGGUAGCUUGCUAUUCGGUGUCACACCUAACGGAUUAAGCAUUCCGCCUGGGGAGUACGGUCGCAAGA
rnacentral:rRNA from 1 species